rnacentral:rRNA from 1 species
GAAUAUUGCACAAUGGGCGGAAGCCUGAUGCAGCGACGCCGCGUGAGGGAUGACGGCCUUCGGGUUGUAAACCUCUUUUCUCAGGGAAGAUCCAAGACGGUACCUGAGGAAUAAGCCACGGCUAACUAAGUGCCAGCAGCCGCGGUAAUACGUAGGUGGCAAGCGUUGUCCGGAUUUACUGGGCGUAAAGUGCGCGCAGGCGGCUGGUCAAGUCCGAUGUGAAAUCUCCCGGCUCAACUGGGAAACUGCAUCGGAAACUGAUCGGCUUGAAGGUGGGAGAGGGUAGUGGAAUUCCCGGUGUAGUGGUGAAAUGCGUAGAUAUCGGGAGGAACACCAGUGGCGAAGGCGACUACCUGGCCCAUUCUUGACGCUGAGGCGCGAAAGCUAGGGGAGCGAA